rnacentral:rRNA from 1 species
GAUGAACGCUGGCGGCGUGCCUAAUACAUGCAAGUCGAGCGAACAGACGAGGAGCUUGCUCCUCUGACGUUAGCGGCGGACGGGUGAGUAACACGUGGAUAACCUACCUAUAAGACUGGGAUAACUUCGGGAAACCGGAGCUAAUACCGGAUAAUAUAUUGAACCGCAUGGUUCAAUAGUGAAAGACGGUUUUGCUGUCCCUUAUAGAUGGAUCCGCGUCGCAUUAGUUAGUUGGUAAGGUAACGGCUUACCAAGGCGACGAUGCGUAGCCGACCUGAGAGGGUGAUCGGCCACACGGGAACUGAGACACGGUCCAGACUCCUACGGGAGGCAGCAGUAGGGAAUCUUCCGCAAUGGGCGAAAGCCUGACGGAGCAACGCCGCGUGAGUGAUGAGGGUCUUCGGAUCGUAAAACUCUGUUAUUAGGGAAGAACAAAUGUGUAAGUAACUAUGCACGUCUUGACGGUACCUAAUCAGAAAGCCACGGCUAACUACGUG